UCCCCUUGGAGGCCAGAAGAGGAUAUUUGAUCCCCUAGAGCUGGAGUCCUAGCACCCCUUACCUUAAGACCGCUCCCCGGGCAUGUCUUCUGCAUGGCCCCGAGGAUUGUGCGCCCCAUCGCCAUCUCUUCACUUCUACUGAUUUCAGACUUGGAAGAGCGCAGGAGUCUGGUCGGCCUGCCUCCACCCUCCUCACAGCUUCCAGACAGAGAUGCAGCACGGAGUCCUUUGCCCCUUGCCCCAUUAGCCUAGAGAACAGAAAAGGUCUGUGUUUCAUGUCUCCGUGCACAUAACAUUGCCUGCCAUUUGUAUAUAGAAAUUCAGUGGAUUUUUAAAAUAUAGAAACUUUUAUGGGGUACAAGUGUUUUGCCAGCACAUAGGCCUGUGAACCCCAUGCAUACGAUCCGAUCCCCAAGAACUGGAGUUAUGAAAGCUUGUUAGUCGCCGUGUGAGUGCUGAGAACCGAACUGUGUUCUCUGGAAGAGGAGCCUGUGCUCUUAAUCUCUG
rnacentral:lncRNA from 1 species